rnacentral:rRNA from 1 species
GACGAACGCUGGCGGCGUGCCUAAUACAUGCAAGUAGAACGCACAGUUUAUACCGUAGCUUGCUACACCAUAGCCUGUGAGUUGCGAACGGGUGAGUAACGCGUAGGUAACCUGCCUGGUAGCGGGGGGUAACUAUUGGAAACGAUAGCUAAUACCGCAUAAUAUUAAUUAUUGCAUGAUAAUUAAUUGUAAUGUUCAAUUGCACCACUACCAGAUGGACCUGCGUUGUAUUAGCUAGUGGGGGAGGUAACGGCUCAACUAGGCGACGAAACAUAGCCGACCUGGGAGGGUGGUCGGCCAAACUGGGAACGGGACACGGCCCAGACUCCUACGGGGGGCAGCAGUAGGGGAUCUUCGGGAAAGGAGGAAAGGCUUGACGAGCAAAGCCGGGGGGGUGAAGGAGGGUUUCGGAUCGUAAAGCUCUGUUGUAAGGGGAGAAAGGGUGGGAGAGUGGAAAGUGCACACUGUGACGGUAUCUUACCAGAAAGGGACGGCUAACUACGUG